GGUCCGGUGGUCUAGCGGUAUGAUUCUCGCUUAGGGUGCGAGAGGUCCCGGGUUCAAUCCCCGGCCGGACCC
rnacentral:tRNA from 1 species